rnacentral:lncRNA from 1 species
GGACGAGUCAAUAUUAUGUUUAUCAAUGAAAGUUAAGGUAUGAAAGGUAAGAAUUGCCACUUAUUCGAUUUUCACAAAAUUUUCGGAAUAUACAGUUGAAUGGUUAUUUUUUAAAAGCCUAUUGUGAAAAGAAAAAAAGAAAGUUUACAAAGAAUACGUUUUGUUCCAUUAAACAAGUCAUUUUCGUAAGAGAAAUACCGA